rnacentral:rRNA from 1 species
UACAGAGGGCUCAAGCGUGGUUCGGAAGCAUUGGGCGUAAAGGGUGCGUAGGCGGUGCGGUAAGUCGGGUGUGAAAUCUUGGAGCUUAACUCCGAAACUGCAUUCGAUACUGCCGUGCUUGAGGACUGGAGAGGAGACUGGAAUUUACGGUGUAGCGGUGAAAUGCGUAGAUAUCGUAAGGAAGACCAGUGGCGAAGGCGGGUCUCUGGACAGUACCUGACGCUGAGGCACGAAGGCCAGGGGAGCAAACGGG